rnacentral:lncRNA from 1 species
CAGCAUUAUGUGUCAAUAGCCAAUACAAAGGUGAAAGCUUGUAUGUGUGUGGGGUCAUGUUGGAUAGAAGGUUCCAGUUUCUUUCUUAGGAUUCCGGCCAGACCCGAUAGCUCUCAACCAGCUGCUUCUUGAUCUCUCUGGCUACCCUGGUGGUCUUCAAUGCUCUGCUUCUCCAAGGAGUUUAUGGAACAUGGGCCUAGUCAAGCCUGUUCCAAGUCAUCAAGUAUGAGAUGGAAUCUGCUUAUGUUACCCAGGCUGGUCUCUAACUCCUAGACUAAAGUGAUCCUCCUGUCUUGGCCUCCCAAAGUACUGGGAUUACAGACAUGUCCCCGGCCACAUUUAUCUUAAUUCAUAAGCUCAGGGGGCAGAAAACAAGAAUCUAUGAAUUCAUACUCCUGAGAUAAAUAAAUAAAGGGAGGAAGCAUUUCAAUACAGUAGCUUUCAAAUGAUGGAUGAAGAAAGAACGAUGGGGUUGAACAUUGGCAUCCACUACAGUAAUACUUGUUUCAGGCCAGAUUCAUCCAUGGAGGCUAACAUCAUUGGUUGAAAUUGUGAUAAGAUAUGAGAUAUUUACCUAACUUCAAUGUCACUCUCCAAAAGAUACUUAUGAAUGACAGAAGGGAAAAGGUAACACCGUGGAAAAACCUGACAGACACCACAUGAACCAAGAUCAGAGCUAACAUCCCCAGUUAACAGGGACAAAUCAACACCGCGUAGUGUGAUGCUCUGAGAAGGCAUAACAUCCCUGCUGGUGCUAUGGUGUUCCUGCUAAAAAUCCCUAACUUGAAUUUGAUCAUGAGAAACAUUAUACACACUCAACUGAGGGACAUUUUACAAAAUAACUGCUUUUACUUUUCAAAAUAAUCAAGACCAUGAAAGACAAAGGAAAAACAGAAGAUCAUUCCAGCUUCAGGCAGACUAAAGAGAUGUGACAAAUAAAUGAAACAUGCCAUCCUGGAAUGGAUUCUGGACCAGGAAAAGAACAUUAGUGGGACAGUUGGUGAAAUCUGAGUAAGAUUAGAUGAUGCUAUUUUAUCAAGGUCAAUUUCCUGAUUUCAAUAAUUGCACUGUGGUUAUGUAAGAGAGUGUCCUUGUUUUUAGGAAAUAUACUCUAUAAAAUAUUUAGAGAUUAAAAAAACAUGAUGGCUCUGCCUUACUCUCAAAUUUUUCAGGAAACAAAUUGAACUUAUACACACCUAUGUUUGUAUAUAUGAGAGAGAAAAUGAUGUGCACAGGGGACAAAAUGUUAAGGUUUGGG